UUGUGUUUUUUGGUUCUUAUGCUU
rnacentral:siRNA from 1 species